GACAGAGGGUGCAAACGUUGUUCGGAAUUACUGGGCGUAAAGCGCGUGUAGGCGGCUCGGCAAGUCGGGUGUGAAAGCCCUGGGCUCAACCCAGGAAGUGCACUCGAAACUUCCAAGCUUGAGUUUUGGAGAGGAAGGCGGAAUUCUCGGUGUAGAGGUGAAAUUCGUAGAUAUCGAGAGGAACACCGGUGGCGAAGGCGGCCUUCUGGACAGUGACUGACGCUGAGACGCGAAAGCGUGGGGAGCAAACAGG
rnacentral:rRNA from 1 species